UGUCUAGUUAAUCUAUGAUUGGAUAAUAUUUAUUAAAUACAAACAAAAAUACUACAUUGUCCACUUUGUAAAAAAAAAAUGCAACUAAACAAGGGUUUAGGGUUUGCAAAAAAAUUUGCAUCUAAACAAGGCCAUAUACUGUCAGCGUAGUUGUGGCUGCUCAUUCUAAUGUCCUGUUUUGUGGGAUGAUAAAGAUCCCAGUGCUGCAGAAUUCACUGUUCUCUGAUGUAUGCCUGCCCAGACGAUAAUUGGUCAUAAACAUAAACAUAAUGAACAGAAAUGCUCGAUAGGGAACAAAAACUUGAAAGUGCUAGAUAGAGAAGAAAACUGGCUUCACCUGCUCCCCGUCUGUUCGCCGGUUCAAUCAAUGUGGGUGGAGCUCGAGCCACAAUUGUACGUCUACGGUGUGCUAACGAUAGGAGAGUAGUUGAAGCUGGAGCACCGAGAAGCUGAGCGAGAGAGGGUCGGACGCCUGGUCCAUUUGCCACAUCACGUCCGCUGACGAUGUUGGGUUGCCAUCCGCUCACCGUACGUAAAGCCUGGUUGAUUUGGCAAGAUUAGUUUGCUCUAAAAUCAGAAGCAUGUGUUAAAGAAUAUUAGGAGUCUGGCAGAGGGAGAGUAAGGAAAAAUAAAGUAACAAGCAAAGUUUAGUAACGCGUGGUGGUCUUGCUUAACAUUGCCUUCUUCAUCAGUGUCAGCCAACAACCUGGCCUUGAUCUGUGCAAAAUACUGAGUACCCUGGCAUAGGACCCUAGCUGAGCAUGUGAAAAUUUUCCAAAAUACAGAGUACCCUGGCUGCCUGGCAUAGGAGCCGAGCUCGUCUUGUUGAACUGUUCAUGGUGGUAGAAGCUGUGCGAUGCAAGGAAGCAUUCUAGUCCGAAGUUGGUUUUGCGAUGGCCGAGUCCAAAGAGACCUCACCCAUAUCGUUGUUGAUCAGAUGGAGAGUCUAUAUAGUAUGCCCCUGAGCAAAUUAAGGUGGAGUAGGCAUGGCGUACGUCCGCUGGGCACUUGGCCGCACGGCCGUGCUUUUGUAGCCGCCAGAGCAAUAGCAGAUGGUACCAUGUCGAGACCAAUGGUUCUCAUCAGCAUCGACGGAGCGACUGGCUGCGGCAGAGCGGCGGGCAGCAGCAGGGCAGCCGCGGCCCACUCCAUGGGCGU
rnacentral:lncRNA from 1 species